CAUUUAAGUAGCUAAUUCCAAUUGUAUUCUCUUUUCUUGAUUGGGUUUGAUGCGUAGGUUGGAGAAUUGGCCGGUAUAGCUGUUGGAGCAACUGUCAUGCUCAACAAUCUUGUCGCAGGGCCAUCGAGUGGUGCAUCUAUGAAUCCCGUUAGGACUCUAGGACCAGCCCUUGCAUCAGGAAACUAUAGGUCACUUUGGGUUUAUCUGGUAGCUCCUACACUUGGUGCCAUAUCUGGAGCAGCCGUCUACACAGGUGUCAAGCUUAAUGAUAACGUGUCGGAUCCCCCACGCCAGGUUAGAAGCUUCCGUCGUUAAGUGAGAGACUUGUCCACAAGUCUUCUGCUUGUUACUGUUACUAUAUAAUUUAUAAUAAUGUAAUGAUAUGAAAAGCUUUGGAAGCUUGUGUAAAGAAUUAAAGACGGUAAAAAAAAAAAAAGAAUAAAAGGCGAUGUGACUACAAGUCCACGCUCUAUGUGUGCAUAGCAUCGGUUUGUCAAUCCGAUGCGAACUCGUCUCGUCAUUGUUAAUUUGUGUCUUGUGUGAUAAUACACUUUGUUUGGUGUGGGUUUCUCUAUUGGUUUGAUGUUGUAUGAUUAUUGAAAAGUUUUUAGAGUAUCAGCAACCCUGAUUCUUAACCAAAAAUCUUUAAAAUUAAAUUAUUAUAAUAAUUUAUGGGACCCAAACAAUUUAAAAAUAUGUGCCAAUUUUGUCUUUUGCAAUUUCUAGCUAAGGACCGUUUUAGUGACAGACACAUUACUGUGCGCGGAUCCCAUCGUCAUAUGAAAAUUCACGAUUGGCUAUUUUUUUUUUAAAAGCUGAAAAAAUAAUAAAAUAAUUAAAAAAAAUUAUCUGGGUUAUCGAGCCAUCAGUAUCGGCGUUGCUGAUGCUCUUAUGGUGGGGUUCUUGGAGGAAUAUAAGAAUCCGUCUCUUAACUUUUAACUAAAAAAGCUAAGAACUGGUUUUUAAAUAAGAGUUUUAAGAGUCGGUUCUUAAUUUUUUUAGUUAAAAGUUAAAAGAAAGGUUAUUAUAUUCCGUUAAGAACUUCGCUAUAAGAACCCCCAGUAAUGUUGUCAGAUAUUUUGCAAAGUAUCGAUCUAGACGCAAAUGCGUGAAUGAAAACUAAGAAUAUUUUGGGAAUUUGUGAGAAUAUAGUACAUCGAAAGUUUAAUUAGGAUAUAAAUACUACUCUCUCUGUUUCAUAUUGUAGGUAGUUUUAGAGAAAUGUUUUUGUUUCAAAAUUUAAGUAGUUUUCGUAGUUCUAUGUAACUUUUACAUUUAUUGAAUACAGUGUUACCAAUCAAAUUAAAUAGACUUAUUUUUUAUUGGUUAAAUUAUAUCUAACCUAUUUAUUAUAAAAUACUUUUUAAAAACAUAAUAAUUUUCUUAAUCUUCGCGAUUUUAGUCAAAACUACUUAUAUUACGAAACGGAGGGAGUAUAUAAAAGGUUAAAUCAUUCUAUUUAUCAACUAUUUGUGGGUUCUCUUCUUCCCCUAUUAACACUUUCAGAUCUUUCAGAGAGGGAAGAGAUUCGAGGUUUCCUUUUGUUUUGUUGUAUGAUAUUCGAUCGUCGAUCGUCUCUUCCGCUUAGUCGGAUUUUGUUAUUUCCCUUGGCGAUUUUAGUGUUUUCGUAAGGCGAUUUUGCAGUGUGUCUCAAGCCAAAUUCGAGUAUGUUCUUAAUGUUUUCUUCUUAUACUCGUUUUGGUCUUGAUGUAAUAAAGUUCCGGUCUUGUUUAGAUCGGAUUAAUCAUGCUUUUCACUCCGACUUCACUUUAAUCCCGUCGGAGUCCGACUUGGAUUCCUUCUUUCACUGUGCUCUAACCGCUUUCUAGGAGAAUCAGUCUUUGCUUUUAUUCAGCCAUUCGGUGUUGAGGUGAAGCAUCUCCGAUUGAAAGAAGAUUGGAGUAGUUGGAUUCUUUAAGUCGGCUUUGGAGUAGAUUCAGUAGAACUGGCGUUCUUGGAGCGGUCCGGUAAAUGAUCUUUCUUCCUCUUUGACUUAAGCAUCUUUGCGUUUAACUUCUGGUGAAUCAAGGUUUUUCUGUUUGGGCUUUCACGGAGUUGGUGGAAAGCAACCGCUGUUUCCGGUGAAGCUUGAAAAUUCGGCGCUGGUAGCUGUGCAGUCGUGCAUGAGAUCCCUGUCUCGCGAUGUUACACUUGGUAACACGUGUCUUCCACGCAUUGAGAAAGCGAGGGUUUUUUAGAAGUUAAUCUGAUCUGUAAAUUUGGAUUGGGUUAAUAUGGGCUUAAAUUGUAAACGUAAUGGGAUUGGGCUUUUUCUAAGUUUCACCUUGUAACAGCCAUAAGGCCUUUCAUUUUAAUGAAAGAAAGUUCACAAAAAAAAAAAAUCAUUCUAUUUAUCACCGGUUAAUUUUAAA